rnacentral:rRNA from 1 species
UACGUAGGGGGCAAGCGUUGUUCGGAAUCACUGGGCAUAAAGGGCGCGUAGGCGGUCCAUUAAGUCCUUUGUGAAAGCCCCCGGCUCAACCGGGGAAUUGCAGGGGAUACUGUUGGGCUUGAGUGCAGGAGGGGAGAGCGGAAUUCCUGGUGGAGCGGUGAAAUGCGUAGAUAUCAGGAGGAACGCCGGUGGCGAAAGCGGCUCUCUGGUCUGUUACUGACGCUGAGGCGCGAAAGCUAGGGGAGCAAACGGG